rnacentral:misc_RNA from 1 species
GGAAAAAGUCGUAACAAGGUUUCCGUAGGUGAACCUGCGGAAGGAUCAUUAUUGUAUAACCGAGGUGCGAGGGCUGUCGCUGACCCGAAAGGUCGUGCACGCCCGAGUGCCCUCACACACAUCCAUCUCACCCCUAUGUGCACCACCGCGUGGGUCCCCCUUUGGCUUGUUCGGAGGGGGGCUUACGUUUUCACACAAACUUUGUAUGCAGUGUAGAAUGUAUUUUUUGUUUUUGCGAUCACGCAAUCAAUACAACUUUCAACAACGGAUCUCUUGGCUCUC